AGCUACGGCCACGCCACGCUGAACAAACCCUAUCCCGUCUGAUCUCAGAAGCUAAUCAGGGUCCGGCCUGGUUAGUACUUCGAUGGAAGACCACCUAGGAAGACCAGGUGCUGUAGGCA
rnacentral:rRNA from 1 species